rnacentral:rRNA from 1 species
UACGUAGGGGGCAAGCGUUGUCCGGAAUUACUGGGUGUAAAGGGAGCGUAGACGGUAAUGUAAGUCUGGAGUGAAAGGCGGGGGCCCAACCCCCGGACUGCUCUGGAAACUAUGUUACUAGAGUGCAGGAGAGGUAAGCGGAAUUCCUAGUGUAGCGGUGAAAUGCGUAGAUAUUAGGAGGAACACCAGUGGCGAAGGCGGCUUACUGGACUGUAACUGACGUUGAGGCUCGAAAGCGUGGGGAGCAAACAGG